UUAUAUAUUUUGAAAUUAUAACUGACGACCUCAGAGCAGGCGAGACU
rnacentral:rRNA from 1 species